GGCCCAGUGGCUCAGCUGGUUAGAGUGCUGGCCUGUCACGCCAGAGGUCGAGGGUUCGAUCCCCUUCUGGGUCGCCA
rnacentral:tRNA from 4 species